GAGUGCAGGAGAGGAAAGCGGAAUUCCUAGUGUAGCGGUGAAAUGCGUAGAGAUUAGGAAGAACACCAGUGGCGAAGGCGGCUUUCUGGACUGUAACUGACGCUGAGGCACGAAAGCGUGGGUAGCAAACAGGAUUAGAUACCCUGGUAGUCCACGCCGUAAACGAUGGAUACUAGGUGUAGGGGGUAUCAACUCCCUCUGUGCCGCAGUUAACACAAUAAGUAUCCCGCCUGGGGAGUACAGUCGCAAGAUUAAAACUCAAAGGAAUUGACGGGGGCCCGCACAGGCAGCGGAGCAUGUGGUUUAAUUCGAAGCAACGCGAAGAACCUUACCUGGACUUGACAUCCCUUGCAUAGCCUAGAGAUAGGUGAAGCCCUUCGGGGCAAGGAGACAGGUGGUGCAUGGUUGUCGUCAGCUCGUGUCGUGAGAUGUUAGGUUAAGUCCUGCAACGAGCGCAACCCUUGUUAUCAGUUGCUACCAUUAAGUUGAGCACUCUAAUGAGACUGCCUGGGUAACCAGGAGGAAGGUGGGGAUGACGUCAAAUCAUCAUGCCCCUUAUGUCCAGGGCUACACACGUGCUACAAUGGUAGGUACAAUAAGAGGCAAGACCGUGAGGUGGAGCAAAACUUAUAAGGCCUAUCUCAGUUCGGAUUGUAGGCUGCAACUCGCCUACAUGAAGCUGGAGUUGCUAGUAAUCGCGAAUCAGAAUGUCGCGGUGAAUACGUUCCCGGGCCUUGUACACACCGCCUGUCACACCAUGAGAGCUGGUAACACCCGAAGUCCGUGAGGCAACCGUAAGGAGCCAGCGGCCGAAGGUGGGAUUAGUGAUUGGGGUGAAGUCGUAACAAGGUAGCCGUAGGAGAACCUGCGGCUGGAUCACCUCCUU
rnacentral:rRNA from 1 species